CGUAGGGGCAAGCGUUGUCCGGAUUUAUUGGGCGUAAAGCGCGCGCAGGCGGCGCUUUAAGUUGGGGGUUAAAGGCAGUGGCUCAACCAUUGUACGCCUCCAAAACUGGAGCGCUUGAGUGCAGGAGAGGAAAGCGGAAUUCCCGGUGUAGCGGUGGAAUGCGUAGAGAUCGGGAGGAACACCAGUGGCGAAGGCGGCUUUCUGGCCUGUAACUGACGCUGAGGCGCGAAAGCGUGGGGAGCAAACAGGAUU
rnacentral:rRNA from 1 species